rnacentral:lncRNA from 1 species
UUGAUCCAAUCAAGCUCAAACUAAAUUUAAUUAAAUUAUAUUUAAUUUAACUUAAUCUCAACUCAUUGGCUUAAUCAAAUUAGGCCAAUUAGCAAUCAAAUUGCUAAUCGAUCCUCCUGCAACACUUGUACUAGAUUAAAUGUCAAUCGUAUUGAUCAUUUAACCCUAGAAUGAUUCUCAAUCGUUGAUCAACCAUCCGAUCGGAUCGUGAACUCUAAUGUGUGUGACCUCAUAGGUUUAAACCUAAGUCGGAAGUAUAGAAAUAAAUUUUUAUACCAAUCGAAGUGACUAUCUAGCAAUGGUACCC